GCCUGCUUAACUCAGUUGGUUAGAGUAUCCGUCUCAUACGCGGAUUGUCACUAGUUCGAAUCUAGUAGCAGGCA
rnacentral:tRNA from 1 species